CCUACGGGAGGCAGCAGGGAGGAAUAUUGGUCAAUGGGCGCGAGCCUGAACCAGCCAAGUAGCGUGAAGGAUGACUGCCCUACGGGUUGUAAACUUCUUUUAUAAAGGAAGAAAGUGAGGCACGUGUGCCUUUUUGGAUGUACGUUAUGAAUAAGGAUCGGCUAACUCCGUGCCAGCAGCCGCGGUAAUACGGAGGAUCCGAGCGUUAUCCGGAUUUAGGGGGUUUAAAGGGAGCGUAGAGGGGUUGUUAAGUCAGUUGUGAACGUUUGCGGCUCAACCGUAAAAUUGCCAUUGAUACUGGCAGCCUUGCGUCCAGUUGCGGUCGGCGGCAUUCGUGGUGUAGCGGU
rnacentral:rRNA from 1 species